rnacentral:rRNA from 1 species
GAUUUCUGGUUGACUCGUCUGAUCCGUCGAUUUCGGUCGACGUGUAUUGGCGCGAGUUUGCCAUCCAUGUGGGUUGGGCGCUACUGGCUCUGCCAGCUGGUGUUCCGAUCUACAUCUUUUACUUUGAAAAAAUUAGAGUGUUUAAAGCAGGCUUUUGCUGUGAAUACAUUAGCAUGGAAUAAUAAUAUAGGACUUCGGUCUCUAUUUGUUGGUUCAUAGAACUGAAGUAAUGAUUGAUAGGGAUAGUUGGGGGUGCUCGUAUUCAGCGGCCAGAGGUGAAAUUCUUGGAUUCGCUGAAGACGAACUUAUGCGAAAGCAUU